GGACUACUGGGGUAUCUAAUCCCGUUCGCUCCCCCAGCUUUCGCGCCUCAGCGUCAGUAAAGGCCCAAGAAGCCGCCUUCGCCACCGGUGUUCCGACUGAUAUCUACGCAUUUCACCGCUACACCAGCCAUUCCACUUCUCCCUGCCGCACUCAAGACCGCCAGUAUGAGAGGCACUGCAUGGGGUUGAGCCCCAGCCUUUCACCUCUCACUUAACAGCCCGCCUACGCGCGCUUUACGCCCAGUAACUUCGGACAACGCUCGCUCCCUACGUAUUACCGCGGCGGCUGGCAC
rnacentral:rRNA from 1 species